rnacentral:rRNA from 2 species
AAUCCAUAGGUUAAUGAGGCGAACCGGGGGAACUGAAACAUCUAAGUACCCCGAGGAAAAGAAAUCAACCGAGAUUCCCCCAGUAGCGGCGAGCGAACGGGGAGGAGCCCAGAGCCUGAAUCAGCAUGUGUGUUAGUGGAAGCGUCUGGAAAGGCGCGCGAUACAGGGUGACAGCCCCGUACACAAAAGCGCAUGUGCUGUGAGCUCGAUGAGUAGGGCGGGACACGUGGUAUCCUGUCUGAAUAUGGGGGGACCAUCCUCCAAGGCUAAAUACUCCUGACUGACCGAUAGUGAACCAGUACCGUGAGGGAAAGGCGAAAAGAACCCCGGCGAGGGGAGUGAAAAAGAACCUGAAACCGUGUACGUACAAGCAGUGGGAGCACCCUUUGGGUGUGACUGCGUACCUUUUGUAUAAUGGGUCAGCGACUUAUAUUCUGUAGCAAGGUUAACCGAAUAGGGGAGCCGGAGGGAAACCGAGUCUUAACCGGGCGUUAAGUUGCAGGGUAUAGACCCGAAACCCGGUGAUCUAGCCAUGGGCAGGUUGAAGGUUGGGUAACACUAACUGGAGGACCGAACCGACUAAUGUUGAAAAAUUAGCGGAUGACCUGUGGCUGGGGGUGAAAGGCCAAUCAAACCGGGAGAUAGCUGGUUCUCCCCGAAAGCUAUUUAGGUAGCGCCUCGUGAAUUCAUCUCCGGGGGUAGAGCACUGUUUCGGCUAGGGGGCCAUCCCGGCUUACCAACCCGAUGCAAACUGCGAAUACCGGAGAAUGUUAUCACGGGAGACACACGGCGGGUGCUAACGUCCGUCGUGAAGAGGGAAACAACCCAGACCGCCAGCUAAGGUCCCAAAGUCAUGGUUAAGUGGGAAACGAUGUGGGAAGGCCCAGACAGCCAGGAUGUUGGCUUAGAAGCAGCCAUCAUUUAAAGAAAGCGUAAUAGCUCACUGGUCGAGUCGGCCUGCGCGGAAGAUGUAACGGGGCUAAACCAUGCACCGAAGCUGCGGCAGCGACACUGUGUGUUGUUGGGUAGGGGAGCGUUCUGUAAGCCUGCGAAGGUGGCCUGUGAGGGUUGCUGGAGGUAUCAGAAGUGCGAAUGCUGACAUAAGUAACGAUAAAGCGGGUGAAAAGCCCGCUCGCCGGAAGACCAAGGGUUCCUGUCCAACGUUAAUCGGGGCAGGGUGAGUCGACCCCUAAGGCGAGGCCGAAAGGCGUAGUCGAUGGGAAACGGGUUAAUAUUCCCGUACUUGGUGUUACUGCGAAGGGGGGACGGAGAAGGCUAUGUUGGCCGGGCGACGGUUGUCCCGGUUUAAGCGUGUAGGCUGGUUUUCCAGGCAAAUCCGGAAAAUCAAGGCUGAGGCGUGAUGACGAGGCACUACGGUGCUGAAGCAACAAAUGCCCUGCUUCCAGGAAAAGCCUCUAAGCAUCAGGUAACAUCAAAUCGUACCCCAAACCGACACAGGUGGUCAGGUAGAGAAUACCAAGGCGCUUGAGAGAACUCGGGUGAAGGAACUAGGCAAAAUGGUGCCGUAACUUCGGGAGAAGGCACGCUGACACGUAGGUGAAGUGAUUUACUCAUGGAGCUGAAGUCAGUCGAAGAUACCAGCUGGCUGCAACUGUUUAUUAAAAACACAGCACUGUGCAAACACGAAAGUGGACGUAUACGGUGUGACGCCUGCCCGGUGCCGGAAGGUUAAUUGAUGGGGUCAGCGCAAGCGAAGCUCCUGAUCGAAGCCCCGGUAAACGGCGGCCGUAACUAUAACGGUCCUAAGGUAGCGAAAUUCCUUGUCGGGUAAGUUCCGACCUGCACGAAUGGCGUAAUGAUGGCCAGGCUGUCUCCACCCGAGACUCAGUGAAAUUGAACUCGCUGUGAAGAUGCAGUGUACCCGCGGCAAGACGGAAAGACCCCGUGAACCUUUACUAUAGCUUGACACUGAACAUUGAGCCUUGAUGUGUAGGAUAGGUGGGAGGCUUUGAAGUGUGGACGCCAGUCUGCAUGGAGCCGACCUUGAAAUACCACCCUUUAAUGUUUGAUGUUCUAACGUGGACCCGUUACCCGGGUUGCGGACAGUGUCUGGUGGGUAGUUUGACUGGGGCGGUCUCCUCCUAAAGAGUAACGGAGGAGCACGAAGGUUGGCUAAUCCUGGUCGGACAUCAGGAGGUUAGUGCAAUGGCAUAAGCCAGCUUGACUGCGAGCGUGACGGCGCGAGCAGGUGCGAAAGCAGGUCAUAGUGAUCCGGUGGUUCUGAAUGGAAGGGCCAUCGCUCAACGGAUAAAAGGUACUCCGGGGAUAACAGGCUGAUACCGCCCAAGAGUUCAUAUCGACGGCGGUGUUUGGCACCUCGAUGUCGGCUCAUCACAUCCUGGGGCUGAAGUAGGUCCCAAGGGUAUGGCUGUUCGCCAUUUAAAGUGGUACGCGAGCUGGGUUUAGAACGUCGUGAGACAGUUCGGUCCCUAUCUGCCGUGGGCGCUGGAGAACUGAGGGGGGCUGCUCCUAGUACGAGAGGACCGGAGUGGACGCAUCACUGGUGUUCGGGUUGUCAUGCCAAUGGCACUGCCCGGUAGCUAAAUGCGGAAGAGAUAAGUGCUGAAAGCAUCUAAGCACGAAACUUGCCCCGA